UCCUGUUGGAAAGGCAAGAAAAGCAAAGGC
rnacentral:piRNA from 1 species